AUUGAACGCUGGCGGCAUGCCUUACACAUGCAAGUCGAACGGUAACAGGUCUUCGGAUGCUGACGAGUGGCGAACGGGUGAGUAAUACAUCGGAACGUGCCCGAUCGUGGGGGAUAACGAAGCGAAAGCUUUUCUAAUACCGCAUAAGAUCUACGGAUGAAAGCAGGGGACCGCAAGGCCUUGCGCGAACGGAGCGGCCGAUGGCAGAUUAGGUAGUUGGUGGGAUAAAAGCUUACCAAGCCGACGAUCUGUAGCUGGUCUGAGAGGACGACCAGCCACACUGGGACUGAGACACGGCCCAGACUCCUACGGGAGGCAGCAGUGGGGAAUUUUGGACAAUGGGCGAAAGCCUGAUCCAGCCAUGCCGCGUGCAGGAUGAAGGCCUUCGGGUUGUAAACUGCUUUUGUACGGAACGAAAAGACUCUGGUUAAUACCUGGGGUCCAUGACGGUACCGUAAGAAUAAGCACCGGCUAACUACGUG
rnacentral:rRNA from 1 species